rnacentral:rRNA from 1 species
AUUGAACGCUGGCGGCAUGCCUUACACAUGCAAGUCGAACGGCAGCACGGGUGCUUGCACCUGGCGGCGAGUGGCGAACGGGUGAGUAAUACAUCGGAACGUACCUUAUCGUGGGGGAUAACGCAGCGAAAGCUGUGCUAAUACCGCAUACGCCCUGAGGGGGAAAGCGGGGGAUCGCAAGACCUCGCGCGAUUAGAGCGGCCGAUGCCUGAUUAGCUAGUUGGUGGGGUAAAAGCCCACCAAGGCGACGAUCAGUAGCUGGUCUGAGAGGACGAUCAGCCACACUGGGACUGGGACACGGCCCAGACUCCUGCGGGAGGCAGCAGUGGGGAAUUUUAGACAAUGGGGGCAACCCUGUUCCAGCAAUGCCGCGUGAGUGAAGAAGGCCUUCGGGUUGUAAAGCUCUUUUGUCAGGGAAGAAACACCGGCUCUAACACAGUCCGGGAAUGACGGUACCUGAAGAAUAAGCACCGGCUAACUACGUGCCAGCCGCCGCCGUAA